rfam:Triticum aestivum genome assembly, contig: Triticum_aestivum_CS42_TGACv1_scaffold_526647_6DL
UGUCCGGUAUUGAAAAACCUAUUCAUCAUACCAUCUUUCGGGACUGAUUGGUUGAUGUGCUCCCAUGCUCAUUCUGCAAUUCUGAGGCCA